rnacentral:rRNA from 1 species
UUCCUACGGGGGGCAGCAGUGGGGAAUAUUGCACAAUGGGGGAAACCCUGAUGCAGCGACGCCGCGUGAGUGAAGAAGUAAUUCGUUACGUAAAGCUCUAUCAGCAGGGAAGAGAGUGACGGUACCUGAGUAAGAAGCCCCGGCUAACUACGUGCCAGCAGCCGCGGUAAUACGUAGGGGGCAAGCGUUAUCCGGAUUUACUGGGUGUAAAGGGAGCGUAGACGGCGAAGAAAGUCUGGAGUGAAAGCCCGCGGCUUAACCGCGGACCUGCUUUGGAAACUUUUUGGCUGGAGUACCGGAGAGGG